rnacentral:sRNA from 1 species
CCUGAAGCCCCCGGGGACAACCCCCACGCCCUGUACGCUCAUCUCAUCGGGCACUGUGACCACCUCUCUGAUGAGAUCAGCAUCGCCACACUCCGGCUGUUUGAGGAGCUGCUGCAGAAGCCCCACGAGGGGAUCAUCCGCAGCCUGGUUCUGCGCAACCUUGAGGGCCGCCCUUACGUGGCCUGGGGCUCACCAGAGCCUGAGAGCUAUGAGGACACCCUAGACCUGGAGGAAGACCCCUACUUUACUGACAGCUUCCUGGAUUCCAACUUUCCACCUCGUGCAAAGCCUCGCCUAGCUCCUGCCACCAGUUACGAUGGCAAAACAGCAGUGACGGAGAUCGUCAACAGGUGGGGAGCAAGUUAGGCAGUCUGAACCACUUGAGUUUUACUCUUUUUUUUUUUUUUUUUUGAGAUACCGUCUCCAUCAUCCAGGCUGGAGUGCAGUGGCACAAUCUCGGCUCACUGCAACCUCCACCUCCCGGGUUCUGGAUCCAAGCAAUUCCUGUGCCUCAGCCUCCUGAGUACCUGGGAUUACAGACAUGCACCACCACAC